CCACAGCGAAUGGUUGUGCGCGCGGUGUCGUGGUAUCUCGCACUCCCUAUUCCGCGGUCUGGCCACCCCUCUUCAUCGGAGUUCUUCCUUUGGUGCUGCAGCAGCGUCUUGUCACGAAGCCGAUGCUGCGCGCUUGCUUAUGGGAUCACGCGACACUUCCAUACAAACCGACAUCGCCGUGCGUACUCUUCUACCUCGUGCCCGGCGAUCCCGUAUGGCGUGUGAGCGUGCCGAAUGCGCGCGGCGAAUACCCAGACCUCGUGCCAGGGCUGCCUUACCAAGAGUGGCAUGCUAUGGAACCGCACUAUCUGCAGGAGUACGCGCCGCCAGCGCUGAGCAUCCACGAGUCGGCCGAGGUCGCGUGGGAGGAGCUGCCGAUCCCGCCCUUUGACGACUUCAGGCGUUUCUUGGCACCAUCGUAGAACACUGCCGUGAAGUGACUCGGUGAACCACCUUUUCAAGGGCACACUCUCGUCUACGUGUGUGCACGUGCUGCAGUGAUCGAAGGACACUUGAGACGGCGAGUAAAACACCGCAAAGACGGCAACGGAUGUGGAGGGAGGGAUUGCUGAUCGGCCUAGGCGGGCCACUUUAUGCCGGUUCUCGAGCCGCUGCCCCACUGCCGACUCUCCCGCGCUUUGAGGAACUAAGGAACCGCGUGCGUGGACUCUGCUAUAUACGGUGUGCGUGCAGGCAUGCGUGUGUGUGUCUGCGCAUGCGCGUACAGGGCCGCUUGUGCGACGGAGCAUGGCCAGGCACCCUCAGAAAGUCUCCCCCCCAUAUACACACACUUAGACACACGCAGCAUAGCCCAAAUGCGAAGCGCGAACAGGCGAAUCAAGCUCAACACCCCAUUUUCAUGUGACAGUAGAUGCGUAGGUGGUCGAACGUUUUUUUUUUGUGCUUCUGCGACUUCCCUGUGAGGACCUCCUCUUUCCCCCCUCAGCCGCUGCGCAGCGCCGUAGUGGUGAAUGGCUUGCGAUAACGCAUCCUGUCUCCCCGUGCUUGAAAGCUGCUCCAUGCUCUGCGCGCCGACGUCCCUCUCACUUUCUCCUUUUCUGUUCUCGACUCAUUUUUUGCCGCACGUACUCCGCCGGUCCCUCGAAACACGCCGCACGGCGCACGCGUUACAUACCGUUUCUUGCGUGCGCGAAG
rnacentral:misc_RNA from 1 species